GCUAAUACCGGAUAGUUCCUUGAACCGCAUGGUUCAAGGAUGAAAGACGGUUUCGGCUGUCACUUACAGAUGGACCCGCGGCGCAUUAGCUAGUUGGUGAGGUAACGGCUCACCAAGGCGACGAUGCGUAGCCGACCUGAGAGGGUGAUCGGCCACACUGGGACUGAGACACGGCCCAGACUCCUACGGGAGGCAGCAGUAGGGAAUCUUCCGCAAUGGACGAAAGUCUGACGGAGCAACGCCGCGUGAGUGAUGAAGGUUUUCGGAUCGUAAAGCUCUGUUGUUAGGGAAGAACAAGUGCAAGAGUAACUGCUUGCACCUUGACGGUACCUAACCAGAAAGCCACGGCUAACUACGUGCCAGCAGCCGCGGUAAUACGUAGGUGGCAAGCGUUGUCCGGAAUUAUUGGGCGUAAAGGGCUCGCAGGCGGUUUCUUAAGUCUGAUGUGAAAGCCCCCGGCUCAACCGGGGAGGGUCAUUGGAAACUGGGAAACUUGAGUGCAGAAGAGGAGAGUGGAAUUCCACGUGUAGCGGUGAAAUGCGUAGAGAUGUGGAGGAACACCAGGUGGCGAAGGCGACUCUCUGGUCUGUAACUGACGCUGAGGAGCGAAAGCGUGGGGAGCGAACAGGAUUAGAUACCCUGGUAGUCCACGCCGUAAACGAUGAGUGCUAAGUGUUAGGGGGUUUCCGCCCCUUAGUGCUGCAGCUAACGCAUUAAGCACUCCGCCUGGGGAGUACGGUCGCAAGACUGAAACUCAAAGGAAUUGACGGGGGCCCGCACAAGCGGUGGAGCAUGUGGUUUAAUUCGAAGCAACGCGAAGAACCUUACCAGGUCUUGACAUCCUCUGACAACCCUAGAGAUAGGGCUUUCCCUUCGGGGACAGAGUGACAGGUGGUGCAUGGUUGUCGUCAGCUCGUGUCGUGAGAUGUUGGGUUAAGUCCCGCAACGAGCGCAACCCUUGAUCUUAGUUGCCAGCAUUCAGUUGGGCACUCUAAGGUGACUGCCGGUGACAAACCGGAGGAAGGUGGGGAUGACGUCAAAUCAUCAUGCCCCUUAUGACCUGGGCUACACACGUGCUACAAUGGACAGAACAAAGGGCUGCGAGACCGCAAGGUUUAGCCAAUCCCACAAAUCUGUUCUCAGUUCGGAUCGCAGUCUGCAACUCGAC
rnacentral:rRNA from 1 species